AACGCGAAGAACCUUACCUACUCUUGACAUCCAGAGAACUUAGCAGAGAUGCUUUGGUGCCUUCGGGAACUCUGAGACAGGUGCUGCAUGGCUGUCGUCAGCUCGUGUUGUGAAAUGUUGGGUUAAGUCCCGCAACGAGCGCAACCCUUAUCCUUUGUUGCCAGCGAUUCGGUCGGGAACUCAAAGGAGACUGCCAGUGAUAAACUGGAGGAAGGUGGGGAUGACGUCAAGUCAUCAUGGCCCUUACGAGUAGGGCUACACACGUGCUACAAUGGCAUAUACAAAGAGAAGCGACCUCGCGAGAGCAAGCGGACCUCAUAAAGUAUGUCGUAGUCCGGAUUGGAGU
rnacentral:rRNA from 1 species